GACGAACGCUGGCGGCGUGCUUAACACAUGCAAGUCGAACGAAGAGCGAUGGAAGCUUGCUUCUAUCAAUCUUAGUGGCGAACGGGUGAGUAACGCGUAAUCAACCUGCCCUUCAGAGGGGGACAACAGUUGGAAACGACCGCUAAUACCGCAUAACAUUGCCGAACGGCAUCGUUUGGCAAUCAAAGGAGCAAUCCGCUGAAAGAUGGGCUCGCGUCUGAUUAGAUAGUUGGUGAGGUAACGGCUCACCAAGUCGACGAUCAGUAGCCGGACUGAGAGGUUGAUCGGCCACAUUGGGACUGAGACACGGCCCAGACUCCUACGGGAGGCAGCAGUGGGGGAUAUUGGACAAUGGGGGAAACCCUGAUCCAGCGAUGCCGCGUGAGGGAAGAAGGUUUUCGGAUUGUAAACCUCUGUGGACAGGGACGAUAAUGACGGGUACCUGUUUAGAAAGCCACGGCUAACUACGUGCCAGCAGCCGC
rnacentral:rRNA from 1 species